UCCAGGAAGUAAAUUGAGUUUAAUGCAUGAUUGAUAUGGCCCGGGAGUGGUGCAUGCUGUCUUUACUGAGCAUGAUAAAGGCGCAGCAGAGUCAGGGACGAGUAGUCCUGGAGCAACCUGCCCCGAGUGACAGGCCUGACAAUCCGAGUGAUGGAUUGGGGCUGGGAAAGUGGUACUCGAAGCGAGGCAGUGACACCAGCGCGCCUCCACUGGCCGCCGAGAGCACGGAGAAGUGGUCUCCCCAGAGGCCGACGCACAAAGGACCAGCUUCACCUUCUGACGAUCGCGGACUGGGAACUUCAAUGUCAGGACUAUGACUAUGUAAAACCUCUGCCAAGUGCGAAUCUGGCAACGCACACUUUAUCCCAAAGGCGCGAGAGGGAGCUAGG
rnacentral:lncRNA from 1 species